rnacentral:misc_RNA from 1 species
GCGAAUAUUUUCAAGAGAGUCGCACUUUACAUUGCGGUAGUAAUUAAUAAUAAUUUUAUCCGUUCGUCAACUUCAUUUGAGUGAGUGUCCGAUUGUUAGUCGAAUCGGAACAACUGGGAUAGACGAAAUACGAUGGCGAUAUCGAUCCGUGUAAUAAAUCAAGAAUCGGAUUGAGGUGAAGGAAGAGGCGCACGAAAAAUUUCCGAGAGAUGGAUUUGGGUGCUCGUCCGGUCAACGCGUCUAGCGGUCGUCGAAUUGCUUUCAAUCAAUCAUCACGGUGCCUAGUGCAUCGCAGUACUCAUUCAACUCCCAACCACGAAGGGCAGGAGUUACAUGGCAUCGCACAAUUCGUUUGCAGGUACCCGGAGAUGCUGUCGCCGCAGUUAUGACCCCCUGGACUUCCCCUGUUCAUCAGGGGGAGUCCAGGGACCCGUCCC